CUCGGAGUUUGAUCCUGGCUCAGAUUGAACGCUGGCGGAAUGCUUUACACAUGCAAGUCGAACGGUAGAGGGGGCAACCCCUCGAGAGUGGCGAACGGGUGAGUAAUAUAUCGGAACGUGCCCAGUCGUGGGGGAUAACGUAGUGAAAAUUACGCUAAUACCGCAUACGAUCUAAGGUUGAAAGUGGGGGAUCGCAAGACCUCAUGCUCAUGGAGUGGCCGAUAUCAGAUUAGGUAGUUGGUGAGGUAAAGGCUCACCAAGCCGACGAUCUGUAGCUGGUCUGAGAGGACGACCAGCCACACUGGAACUGAGACACGGUCCAGACUCCUACGGGGAGGCAGCAGUGGGGAAUUUUGGACAAUGGGGCGCAAGCCUGAUCCCAGCCCAUGCCGCGUGCAGGAAGACGGUCCUAUGGAUUGUAAACUGCUUUGUACAGACG
rnacentral:rRNA from 1 species